CUUACCUGCCCUCCCAUAGUAACACUGCUGUCCAUUAAAGCAGCAGUUGAUAGCUUCACACUCAGCACCAUUGAUCACAGGUGGUCCACAUUGGAUCUGCUCAUAAUCAGCUACAGCACAUUUAUCAAGGGGCUCUGCCUGCACCACUGGCUUCUGAUGCUGAAACUGCUGGUUAGUUUUUUGUUGAACUGGCUUCUGAAGCUGAAACUGCUGGUUAGUUUUUUGUUGAACUGGCUUCUGAAGCUGAAACUGCUGGUUAGUUUGUUGUUGAACUGGCUUCUGAAGCUGAAUCUGCUGGUCAGUUUGCCGGAUUAUCAGAGCUUGAGGUUUCUGAGGCAUAUUGCUCCACUGUGGAACAGCAUGACAGAAACCACACACUGCCAAAAUCUGAACCAAACACCAACUUCCAGCCAUUGUUCAACAGCUUAGCACAAAAUGGAGAUGCUGCCCUUUGAUCUUUUUAUACUCUACAGGUUUCAGCUAAUUCAAGAUAGUCCCACCCACCUUCAUUAACCCUCAUGAUUCUCCAGACUUGCAUGAGUUGGCGCUUAUGCAGAGUGAUUCUUGAACGCUGUGUCCCAGACUGAAGUGUACGGAGCCCCGCAUAUGACAUGCAAGAAAAAAUAAAUAAAUUGUGCGCACGAUUUACUAAUUCGUUCCCUCAAUGUACUAAAAAGUGCACACGAUUACUAUUGCAUUCCCUCGAUUUACU
ensembl:lncRNA